rnacentral:rRNA from 1 species
GGCGAGUGAAGCGGCAACAGCUCAAAUUUGAAAUCUGGCUUCGGCCCGAGUUGUAAUUUGCAGAGGAAGCUUUGGGCGCGGCACCGACUGAGUCCCCUGGAACGGGGCGCCAUAGAGGGUGAGAGCCCCGUAUAGUCGGACGCUAAGCCUGUGUAAAGCUCCUUCGACGAGUCGAGUAGUUUGGGAAUGCUGCUCAAAAUGGGAGGUAAAUUUCUUCUAAAGCUAAAUACCGGCCAGAGACCGAUAGCGCACAAGUAGAGUGAUCGAAAGAUGAAAAGCACUUUGAAAAGAGGGUUAAAUAGCACGUGAAAUUGUUGAAAGGGAAGCGCUUGUGACCAGACUUGCGCCUGGCUGAUCAUCCGGUGUUCUCACCGGUGCACUCUGCCAGGCUCAGGCCAGCAUCGGUUCUCGCGGGGGGAUAAAGGCCCUGGGAACGUAGCUCCUCCGGGAGUGUUAUAGCCCAGGGUGCAAUGCCCUCGCGGGGACCGAGGUUCGCGCAUCUGCAAGGAUGCUGGCGUAAUGGUCAUCAGCGACCCGU